rnacentral:lncRNA from 1 species
UCCCAGUCUUUGUAUCAGCAUGGACAGUUCUUUUAUUUAUACAUCUACAUGAGUGUUCUUCUGUCUUAAUGAGAUUGUUCCUCUCUCCCGAUUUUAAUUAAGUUAAAAUCACCCUCCUCUUCAGGCUAAUGAGGCACUUCCCCUUUCAGCAUUUUCUUCAUUAGUCUCCCCAUCCCCUCCUCGAUCCUCUUCUCUAUCUCCUGCUCUAUCAUCUUCUCUACUAUCUUCUCUACUAUCUUCUCUAUCAUCUUCUCUAUCCUCUGCUCUAUCAUCUUCUCUACUAUCUUCUCUAUCCUCUGCUCUAUCAUCUUCUCUAUCCUCUUCUCUAUUAUCUUCUCUAUCCCCUGCUCUAUCAUCUUCUCUACUAUCUUCUCUAUCAUCUUCUCUAUCCCCUGCUCUAUCAUCUUCUCUACUAUCUUCUCUAUAAUCUUCUCUAUCCCCUGCUCUAUCAUCUUCUCUAUCAUCUUCUCUACUAUGUUCUCUAUCAUCUUCUCUAUCCUCUGCUCUAUCAUCUUCUCUAUCCUCUUCUCUAUCAUCUUCUCUAUCCCCUGCUCUAUCAUCUUCUCUACUAUCUUCUCUAUCAUCUUCUCUAUCCCCUGCUCUAUCAUCUUCUCUACUAUCUUCUCUAUCAUCUUCUCUAUCCCCUGCUCUAUCAUCUACUCUCUAUUCUCUUCUCUAUCAUCUUCUCUACUAUCUUCUCUAUCCUCUUCUCUAUCAUCUUCUCUAUCAUCUUCUCUAUUCUAUUCUCUAUCAUCUUCUCUAUAAUCUUCUCUAUCCCCUGCUCUAUCAUCUUCUCUAUUCCCUGCUCUAUCAUCUUCUCUAUUCCCUGCUCUAUCAUCUUCUCUAUCCCCUGCUCUAUCAUCUUCUCUAUUCCCUGCUCUAUCAUCUUCUCUAUCCUCUUCUCUAUAAUCUUCUGUAUCAUCUUCUUUAUCAUCUUUAUAAUCUUCUCUAUCAUCUUCUCUAUCAUCAUCGCUAUCAUCUUGUGUAUCAUCUGCUCUUCUCAGAAUACACAGUCUAUUUACAGUAUCUAUACAAAUGUGCACAAUUUGGACCUCAUAACCUUUAGAGAAGUGGUCAGGCAUUUUGCUCAGCAGAUGAAAAGGUUCAGAGUGGGGAGGACUGGUUUGUAGCUUCAAGCCCUGAGGCAACACCACUUUAUUAGUUAGAGA